rnacentral:rRNA from 1 species
UACGUAGGGUGCGAGCGUUGUCCGGAAUUAUUGGGCGUAAAGAGCUCGUAGGCGGUUUGUCGCGUCUGCUGUGAAAACGCGAGGCUCAACCUCGCGCCUGCAGUGGGUACGGGCAGACUAGAGUGCGGUAGGGGAGAUUGGAAUUCCUGGUGUAGCGGUGGAAUGCGCAGAUAUCAGGAGGAACACCAGUGGCGAAGGCGGCUUCUGGACGAUAACUGACGCUGGAGACGCGAAAGCGUGGGGGAGCAAACAGG